UACGUAGGGGGCAAGCGUUAUCCAGAUUUACUGGGCGUAAAGCGCGUGUAGGCGGCUGGUUAGGUGUGAUGUGAAAUCUUCCGGCUCAACCGGAAAACUGCAUUGCAAACCGGCCUGGCUAGAGUGCAGGAGAGGGAAGCGGAAUUCCAGGAGUAGCGGUGACAUGCGUAGAUAUCUGGAGGAACACCAGUGGCGAAGGCGGCUUCCUGGCUUAAAACUGACACUGUGGCGCGAAAGCGUGGGUAGCAAAUAGG
rnacentral:rRNA from 1 species